GAUGAACGCUAGCUACAGGCUUAACACAUGCAAGUCGAGGGAACGAUAUUGGAAGCUUGCUUCCGAUAGGCGUCGACCGGCGCACGGGUGAGUAACGCGUAUCCAACCUGCCCACACUUGGGGAUAACCUUGCGAAAGUAAGACUAAUACCCAAUGAUAUCUCUAGAAGACAUCUGAAAGAGAUUAAAGAUUUAUCGGUGAUGGAUGGACCCGCGUCUGAUUAGCUUGUUGGUGAGGUUAAACGGGCCCCACCAAGGCGACGAUCAGUAGCCGACUUGAGAGAGUGAUCGGCCACAUUGGGACUGAGACACGGCCCAAACUCCUACGGGAGGCAGCAGUAGGGAAUAUUGCACAAUGGGGGAAACCCUGAUGCAGCGACGCCGCGUGAAGGAAGAAGUAUUUCGGUAUGUAAACUUCUAUCAGCAAGGAAGAAAAUGACGGUACUUGACUAAGAAGCCCCGGCUAAAUACGUG
rnacentral:rRNA from 1 species